rnacentral:rRNA from 1 species
UACGGAGGGGGCAAGCGUUGCUCGGAAUCAUUGGGCGUAAAGCGCGCGCAGGCGGACUGAUCAGUCUGGGGUGAAAUCUCCCGGCUCAACUGGGAGCGGUCCCUGGAUACUGUCAGGCUUGAGAGACGUAGAGGAGAGCGGAAUUCCUGGUGUAGCGGUGGAAUGUGUAGAUAUCAGGAAGAACAUCGGUGGCGAAGGCGGCUUGCUGGGCCCUUACUGACGCUGAGACUCGAAAGCGUGGGGAGCAAACGGG